UACGUAGGGAGCAAGCGUUGUCCGGAAUCAUUGGGCGUAAAGAGCGCGUAGGCGGUCCGGUAAGUCGGUUGUGAAAACUGGGGGCUCAACCCUCAGAGGCCGACCGAUACUGCCGGGCUAGAGUCCGGAAGAGGCGAGUGGAAUUCCUGGUGUAGCGGUGAAAUGCGCAGAUAUGUGGAGGAACACCAGUGGCGAAGGCGACUCUUUGGCCUGUAACUGACGCUGAGGCGCGAAAGCGUGGGGAGCAAACAGG
rnacentral:rRNA from 1 species